GCGAUCUUUGCUGCCAGGCAGCACUCAACAAAUCUGAGCCACCACUUCUUAUUCUAUACUCCUGAGUUACAAAGCUAGCGAUAGAACUUACAUCAUAGGAAGGG